rnacentral:rRNA from 1 species
UGGGGAAUUUUGGACAAUGGGCGAAAGCCUGAUCCAGCAAUGCCGCGUGUGUGAAGAAGGCCUUCGGGUUGUAAAGCACUUUUGUCCGGAAAGAAAUCCUCUGGGUUAAUACCUCGGGGGGAUGACGGUACCGGAAGAAUAAGCACCGGCUAACUACGUGCCAGCAGCCGCGGUAAUGACGUAGGGUGCAAGCGUUAAUCGGAAUUACUGGGCGUAAAGCGUGCGCAGGCGGUUUUGUAAGACGGAUGUGAAAUCCCCGGGCUUAACCUGGGAACUGCAUUCGUGACUGCAAGGCUAGAGUAUGGCAGAGGGGGGUAGAAUUCCACGUGUAGCAGUGAAAUGCGUAGAGAUGUGGAGGAAUACCGAUGGCGAAGGCAGCCCCCUGGGCCAAAUACUGACGCUCAUGCACGAAAGCGUGGGGAGCAAACAGGAUUAGAUACCCUGGUAGUCCCACGCCCUAAACGAUGUCAACUAGUUGUUGGGGAUUCAUUUCCUUAGUAACGUAGCUAACGCGUGAAGUUGACCGCCUGGGGGA